CAGAUCCUUCGUCUUUUCAAGGACCGCCAUCUUCCCAACUUCGAAGUUUUGACUCGAUGGAAUCAGCAGAUCCUGAUCAUCUUUCCUUUAGUCAAAGACCGCCAUUCUCCCAACUCCCAAGUCUUGACUCGGUGGAAUCAGCUCUACGUUCUAGACACUAUAUAAGGGAUUUUAUGAAUGGGAUUGAUUAUACGUCUUCUGAAGAAUCCGACUCCGACUCGGACCCGUACAUGUACUACAAGUAAAGAGCUCUUACCAUUCGAAACUGAAAAUUAACUGCUGUCUUUUUUAACAACAGCAAUCUGUUUCAAGUUAACCAUGGGCUAACAAUUUAUUUUGAGUGAUAUUAUGUAAUAUCAGAGAAGAGUAUAGAAACUUUUCUUGUAUAUAGAUGUUGUUUGUCUUUAUGAUUUAAUGGUAAAUAUUGUUUCAUUAAUGUGAAGGUAAACUUUUUAACUUAAAUUACAAUGUAAAAUGCUUUGCAAAUGUGAACCCGUAUAAGCUUUUUUAAAGCAGUAAGGGAUGACUAA